UUGCAUCCCCACAGGCUGUGCCUCGGGAGCUAGGAAGAAGUAGGAGGGGACAAAACUCACGCGGGGCAGUGGAUGCGAGAGUGGAGCGGUGACUGUCGGUGUUAACUUGGUCUCUAUUCAUCGAGUGGCACCGAUGUGGAUGGGAUGGGAGAGGGAGGCAGGGAUGAGGGCAAGAUUUCAACCACCAAUAGAACUUUGUGUAGUGAUGGUUCAUGCUUGGCUUUUGCAGCUACGCUUCCAGAGGAGCUGUCCAGGAGCCCCAGCCAGAGGAGAAAGUUGCAGAAGGGAACCUGAGCAGUCUGGACAUCCUAAGCAGACAUGAACAGUCCUCAGCUUUCUGCCUCCUGCAUAACUGGCUGUUCAGUACCAAUGGAGAAGAAGUGGAUGGUCAGAGUCCGCUCUCCUCCUUUCAUAAGAUUUGAUGCGUCUGGCCAGAUUCUGCUGUGCAGAUACCAAGGGAAAAGAGAGCUCACAUCAGUCUACUGCCCUCAUGCGAUGGAAAUCAAGUGAGAGCAAUGGGACCACGAGAAUUAUUGCUGCCACGAACAAGCCGUGCAACUGGGAGAACAGACGUGACUCUCAAUGAGAUAAGUGUCUAUCUUGGUGAUUGCUCUGUUUUUUGAGUAGCUGUGCUUAUGAGGGAGACAGGAUACCAAUUUUCAGGGGCUGCUCAGUUCUCUGGCCAGUAGCGCUGUGUCCUCUGCAGCAGAAGGUUAGAUCCAGGAGGAUGACUGCAGGUGGAGAGUUGCGUGCCUUCCUCCCAGGUCUGUCUGUCUGUCUGUCUGUCUCUCUCUCUCUCUCUCUCUGUUCCCUACUAUAUUGGCCAACACACACAACACACACAAGCAGCAUUUGAAUUGUCUGCUGGUCCU